GGGGUCAUAGAUCAGGGGUAGAUCGCAAGCUUCGCAACAGCUAUCGUGCAUCCGUCUCUGCUUGAGGUCCAGGGUUCAAAUCCCUGUGGCUCCA
rnacentral:tRNA from 1 species